rnacentral:rRNA from 1 species
AGUGAACGCUGGCGGUAGGCCUAACACAUGCAAGUCGAACGGCAGCACAGUAAGAGCUUGCUCUUACGGGUGGCGAGUGGCGGACGGGUGAGGAAUACAUCGGAAUCUACUUUUUCGUGGGGGAUAACGUAGGGAAACUUACGCUAAUACCGCAUACGACCUACGGGUGAAAGCAGGGGAUCUUCGGACCUUGCGCGAUUGAAUGAGCCGAUGUCGGAUUAGCUAGUUGGCGGGGUAAAGGCCCACCAAGGCGACGAUCCGUAGCUGGUCUGAGAGGAUGAUCAGCCACACUGGAACUGAGACACGGUCCAGACUCCUACGGCAGGCAGCAGUGGGGAAUAUUGGACAAUGGGCGCAAGCCUGAUCCAGCCAUACCGCGUGGGUGAAGAAGGCCUUCGGGUUGUAAAGCCCUUUUGUUGGGAAAGAAAAGCAGCAGGUUAAUACCCCGCUGUUCUGACGGUACCCAAAGAAUAAGCACCGGCUAACUUCGUG